GUCUACAGCCCUACCACCCUGAAAGCGCCUGAUCUCAUCUGAUCUCAGAAGGAAAGCAGAAUUGGGUCUGGUUAGCUAUUAGAUGGAAGACU
rnacentral:rRNA from 1 species